rnacentral:lncRNA from 1 species
AUUCAAGGGGUACAUGUGCAGGUUUGCUACAUGGGCAUAUUGUGUGAUGGUUUAGAGUACAAUGGAUCCCGUCACCCAAAUAACCGAGUCCUGCAAACGUAGAAGGUCUCAAGAAAACCACUUCAUCAAUACUCACACAGGAGCAGAUCCUAUCGUCUACAGCCACAGCUUCCCAGCAUUGGUGGAAAAGGUCAGCUUGCAAUCAGUCAGCCCGUGCAUACUGGAAAAUUGGAAUAAAAAACAACUAAGAUUCAGGAGAGGGUCAUGGAGGAAAGAAAAUGAGCACCAUGGAACAGUUGCCUGAGAAGACAGGCUCAGGUUAGUGUCUCUGCAGGGAGCACUAAUUGGGUAGGCAGAAAUCAGAAUAGGUGUGUUAGGGGCAUGUGGUAGGCAACAGGGUCAGGACUAGGGUAAGGUGAAUGAGGUAUCUGAUGGGAUUCACUCUCAGGGCUGUGCUAGAAAAAGUGUUACCUUCAAUUUUGCACCCCUGGCAUGUCACUCACUUCACCCUAGUCCUGGCUUUGGUAGAUGCUUCUGAAAUGGCUCCCAAAGAGCCCACCUUCUGUAUUCAUACCUUUGACCAUGUACCUUUGUGUGGGACUGGACCUUGUGACUUGUUUCUAUUGAAUCGAACUUAGUGAAGGUGAUAGGUUAAGUUAUAAAAGAUCGUGACUUCCACCUUACACGCACUCUCUGUGUGGUUUUCCAAUUCUGAUGAAGCAAGUUGCACUGGUGAGAUGCCCUGUUGAGUGGCCUAUGUGGCAGGGCCUAUGAGAGCAGCCUCCAGCCAACAGCCAGUAAGGAACUGAGGCCCUGAGUCCACCAGGCCCCAGGGAACUGAAUUCUGCCAACAGUUACCUGAGUGAGCUUGGAAGUGGAGCCUUCCCUGGUUGAAUCUUCAGAUGAGAUCACAGCCUCAGUAGA